AACGAACGCUGGCGGCAGGCUUAACACAUGCAAGUCGAGCGCCCCGCAAGGGGAGCGGCAGACGGGUGAGUAACGCGUGGGAACGUACCUUUUGGUUCGGAACAACUGAGGGAAACUUUAGCUAAUACCGGAUAAGCCCUUACGGGGAAAGAUUUAUCGCAGAAAGAUAGGCCCGCGUCUGAUUAGCUAGUUGGUGAGGUAAUGGCUCACCAAGGCGACGAUCAGUAGCGGGUCUGAGAGGAUGAACAGCCAAAUUGGGACUGAGACACGGCCCAAACUCCUACGGGAGGCAGCAGUGGGGAAGAUUGGACAAUGGGCGCAAGCCUGAUCCAGCCAUGCCGCGUGAGUGAUGAAGGCCCUAGGGUUGUAAAGCUCUUUUGUGCGGGCAGAUAAUGACGGUACCGCAAGAAUAAGCCCCGGCUAACUUCGUGCCAGCCGCCGCCGUAA
rnacentral:rRNA from 1 species